CUACCCCUAUUGCCCCUUAAGUGUGAGGUGUUUGAACAUCCAUAGAGUGGGAACACUUAGGCCUGAAAAAGUGCUAAUUAGGUAGUUGAAGUGGGCUUACUUUUAUUAGUGCCCUAUGCCUCAAUCCUCAUGAGCUUGUCACUUUGGUAUACUUUCUUUGUUCUGGUUUGUUUAUCUAUUUUGAAGAAUUUAAUUUUUUAAGGAGUCAAAAG
rnacentral:lncRNA from 1 species